rnacentral:rRNA from 1 species
GGCUGUCGUCAGCUCGUGUCGUGAGAUGUUCGGUUAAGUCCGCUAACGAGCGCAACCCUCACUGUGUGUUAUAUGUGUCACACGGGACUGCCGGUUUUAAGCCGGAGGAAGUGGGGAUGACGUCAAAUCAUCAUGCCCCUUAUGACCUGGGCUACACACGUGCUACAAUGGUUGGUACAACGAGUUGCGAGUCGGUGACGGCGAGCUAAUCUCUUAAAGCCAAUCUCAGUUCGGAUUGUAGGCUGCAACUCGCCUACAUGAAGUCGGAAUCGCUAGUAAUCGCGGAUCAGCACGCCCGCGGUCGAAUACGUUCCCGGGCCUU